CCCCGGGAAACUGGGGCUAAUUCUCGAUAGGUGAAGAACUCUGGAAUGAGUCUUUGCCAAAAAGACGUUUACGUUAUGCUCGUAGGCGUCGCCCAAGGAUGAGGCCGCGACCGAUCAGGUUGUUGGUGAGGUAAUGGCUCACCAAGCCUUUUACCGGUGCGGGCCGUGAGAGCGGGAGCCCGGAGAUGGGCACUGAGACAAGGGCCCAGGCCCUACGGGGCGCAGCAGUCGCGAAAACUUUGCAAUACACGAAAGUGUGACAGGGCUAUCCCGAGUGCCAUCCGCUGAGGAAGGCUUUUACCCAGUCUAGAACGCUGGGGGAAUGAGGAGAGGGCAAGUCUGGUGUCAGCCGCCGCGGUAAUACCAGCUCUCCGAGUGGUGUGGAUGUUUAUUGGGCCUAAAGCAUCCGUAGCUGGCUGAGUUAGUCCCUUGUUAAAUCCACCGAAUUAAUCGUUGGAUUGCGGGGGAUACUGCUCGGCUAGGGGACGAGAGAGGCAGACGGUAUUUCCGGGGUAGGGGUGAAAUCCUAUAAUCCCGGGAAGACCACCAGUGGCGAAGGCUGUCUGCUAGAACGCGCCCGACGGUGAGGGAUGAAAGCUGGGGGAGCGAACCGGAUUAGAUACCCGGGUAGUCCCAGCUGUAAACGAUGCAGGCUAGGUGUUUGGACGGCCACGUGCCGUUCUAGUGCCGCAGGGAAGCUGUUAAGCCUGCCGCCUGGGGAGUACGAUCGCAAGAUUGAAACUUAA
rnacentral:rRNA from 1 species